UUUUUGAUAACCUACUGGUAUAUGGUUUAAUGAACAAAAGUUUUGCCGGGAAAAAGUUCAGCUAUAUGCCUAUUUAGAAUUGGAAAACAGUAGUUUAUACAUUAUAUUACUUAUAAACACAAUGUCAAGCCCAUUAGGUCCGCCUCGUUCCAGUCGAAGCAAUGACAGUGGUUCCAAUAGAGGAACUCCACAAAAAAGACCGAGCAACAAUACUGUAGAAACUCCAUUACGAUGGGGAAAUCGUCGUAUUCAAGAGACGAUUGCUGGAUCAUCGGAGGCUGGUUCCCAAAUUCCUGCAUCUUCUCCAAUUGCGGCACAACAAAGUCCACUUGCUGCAGGAAUGAGCGAAAUAGACUUAUCAUCUCCAUUGAAUUAUGGUACUCCUAGUUCUCUGGGAUCUAUACGUACUCCACGAAGUGGUGUUAGAGGAACACCUAUUCGGCAAAGAACAGAUAUUAGAACAGAUAAGCAUCUACGUCAGGUUAAUUUGUCUGAACCGAUUCCUGAAGAAGCAGCUAUUCCAGGUACAUCGGAAAGUGAAAACACAGGUCCACAGUUAGUAAUAUGGGGUACAAAUGUGGUUGUGAAUCGUUGUAAAGAGCAGUUCAAACGUUUUGUGCUUCGCUUUAUUGAUCCAGAAGCUGAGAAUGAUGAAUUACCAGAAAACAUGAACUUAUCAGAGCCAUUAUAUUUACAAAAGCUUGAAGAAAUUCAUACAUUAGAAGAACCAUAUUUGAAUAUAAAUUGUGCUCAUUUGGAGGUUUUUGAUGAACAAUUAUAUCGACAAUUAAUAUGUUAUCCACAAGAAGUCAUACCUACUAUGGAUAUGGCAGCUAAUGAAAUGUUUUUUGAAAAAUAUCCAGCUGCAGUGUUAGAACACCAGAUACAAGUACGGCCUUUUAAUGUUACUAGAACUAAAAGUAUGCGCUUGCUUAAUCCAGAAGAUAUAGAUCAAUUAAUUACUGUUUCUGGUAUGGUGAUCAGAACAUCUAAUAUUAUGCCAGAGAUGAGAGAAGCAUUCUUUGAAUGUAUUAUAUGUGGAUUCUCUACAUUGGUAGAAAUGGAUAGAGGCCGUAUAGUAGAACCUACGGCUUGUACAAAAUGUAACAAUAAUUAUUGUUUUACAUUGAUACACAAUCGCAGCCACUUCUCUGAUAAACAAAUGAUUAAAUUACAAGAAUCGCCUGAUGAUAUGCCUGCUGGACACACUCCUCAUACUGUUAUCAUUUUUGCACAUAAUGAUUUAGUUGAUGCUGUUUCUCCUGGCGAUAGGGUAUAUGUUACAGGAAUAUAUCGUGCUCAACCAUUACGUGUUAACCCAAGACAAUCAAAUGUACGUGCUGUUUAUAAAACACAUAUUGAUGUCGUUCACUUUAGGAAACAUGAUUCAAAAAGAUUAUAUGAUCAACAAGAAGGUAAAGACCAUGCAUUUCCAGCAGAGAGAAUAGAACUUUUACAAUUAUUAUCUCAAAAGGAGGAUGUUUAUGAGAGAUUAGCCAGACAUAUUGCACCAAGUAUUUACGAAAAUGAAGACGUGAAGAAAGGUAUAUUACUUCAACUUUUUGGUGGUACAAAAAAAGGUGAAGGUCUCAUCAGAAGGAAACAUUUUCGUUCAGAAAUUAAUAUAUUACUUUGCGGUGAUCCUGGUACCAGCAAAUCACAGUUAUUACAAUUUGUUUACAAUUUGGUACCACGUUCACAAUACAGUAGUGGAAAAGGUUCUAGUGCUGUUGGUUUAACAGCUUAUGUAACCAAGGAUCCAGAAAGUAGACAGUUAGUAUUACAAACUGGAGCUUUGGUAUUAGCAGAUAACGGCAUUUGUUGUAUAGACGAAUUCGAUAAAAUGAAUGAUAGUACACGUUCUAUUUUGCACGAAGUUAUGGAGCAGCAGACCUUAAGUAUUGCCAAAGCAGGAAUCAUUUGUCAAUUAAAUGCAAGAACAAGCAUAUUAGCUGCUGCAAAUCCGUGUGGAUCACAAUGGAAUAAAAAUAAAACGGUCGUCGAGAACGUGAUGUUACCUCAUACAUUAAUGUCUCGUUUCGAUUUAAUCUUUCUUAUGUUAGAUCCUCAAAGCGAAGUGUUCGAUAGAAAAUUAGCACGCCAUUUGGUAUCUCUUUAUUAUAAAACUGAAUUAGAGGAUGAAGAUGAAAUCAUAGAUAUGAGUAUACUCCGUGAUUACAUUGCAUAUGCUAAAGAACACAUUCAUCCGACUCUCAAUGAAGAAAGUCAACAGAGAUUGAUUCAAGCUUAUGUUGAUAUGAGGAGAGUAGGUAGUGGCCGUGGACAAAUUACUGCUUAUCCGAGACAAUUAGAAUCUUUGAUACGAUUAUCUGAAGCUCAUGCAAAAAUACGAUUCAGCAAUGUUGUAGAAAUUGAAGAUGUAGAAGAAGCAUGGAGAUUACAUCGUGAAGCCUUAAAACAAUCAGCUAUUGAUCCUUUAAGCGGUAAGAUUGACAUCAGUAUUUUAACUACUGGAAUUUCUUCAGCAGCCAGAAAACGAAGAUUUGAAUUAAACGAGGCUCUUAAGAAAUUGAUUCAAUCGAAAAAUAAAACAUCUAUGCUUAAUUAUCAGAAAGUUUUUACUGAAAUUAGAGGAUCAUCUGACCUGUUGGUGACACGCGAAAUGUUUGAAGAUGCUUUGAAAGAUUUACAGGAGGACGGAGUUAUAAUUGUUGUUGGCAAAAAUUCAAUUCGUAUAUGUUAAUCAUUUUUUUAAGAGACUAACUGACAAUGAAGUAAUCGUGUUAAAGAAUUCAACCCCCAUCUUGCGAGAUAUGGAAUCUGCUGGAAAAGUGGGAUCAUCUAUCUUGUCGGUUUUUUUAUCCGGCGAUCUACCGUUCGUUCCAGUUCACUUUUGUCUCUGAAAGGAUUUGGUUGAAUCGGAGAGGUGGUGUCGUUAAAACAAAACGACCUGUAGAGAGAUCUAUAUAUAUACACGCGGCGCCCACGUUUCAUGCGCGGGCGUCGCGACGGAGGCGUCGUACUACGUAGUUUUGCACUUGCGGUGACCUUGGGAGCACCCACGUAUCAGGGAGAGAAAGAGGGGGUAAGGAUAUUCGUUCAUCGACGUUCCCAUUCCUUUUUGCCCCUCCCUUACCCUAUCAUUGAGAUACGCGGCUACGUAUAACGCUCGUACAUACACACACAUACACACAGAAGGGGCGCGUGCGCCUACGCAUAACACGUAACAUACAUAGAGACAGGCA